rnacentral:snoRNA from 1 species
UUCUGGGGUCCCCAGGGCAGUUUUCCUUUCAUGAUCAGAGCCCACUGUAGGCAGCAAUGCCAGCUGGGAGUCUGAGAAAGUUAUACAAACAUGGCAGGUAAAGUGGGUCAGGGAACCCGGGU